rnacentral:rRNA from 1 species
ACACGGAGGGCGCAAGCGUUGCUCGGAAUCACUGGGCGUAAAGCGGGUGUAGGCGGUCUAGCAAGUCAGAUGUGAAAGCCCACGGCUCAACCGUGGAAGUGCAUCUGAAACUGCUAGACUUGAGUGCCGGAGAGGGAAGUGGAAUUCCUGGUGUAGGGGUGAAAUCCGUAGAUAUCAGGAGGAACACCGGUGGCGAAGGCGACUUACUGGACGGCCACUGACGCUGAGACCCGAAAGCGUGGGGAGCAAACAGGAUUAGAAACCCUAGUAGUCC